AUGGUGCAUUACAAUGGCAAAUGCAAUUGACAGUAUAUGGCUAAACCCUCACACUGAUAUUAAAAUGAGACUUUUGCCAAUAGAUUCUUAUAUCAAGAACAUACCGGAGCCCGUGCACCCCGUCAAGACCUACAUGUGAGUGAUUUUUAU